rnacentral:rRNA from 1 species
GCAAGUCGAACGGCAGCACAGGAUAGCUUGCUAUCCGGGUGGCGAGUGGCGGACGGGUGAGUAACGCGUAGGAAUCUACCUUUUCGUGGGGGAUAACCCGGGGAAACUCGGGCUAAUACCGCAUACGCCCUACGGGGGAAAGCGGGGGACCUUCGGGCCUCGCGCGGAAUGAUGAGCCUGCGUCCUAUCAGGUAGUUGGUGAGGUAAUGGCUCACCAAGCCGACGACGGGUAGCUGAUCUGAGAGGACGACCAGCCACACUGGGACUGAGACACGGCCCAGACUCCUACGGGAGGCAGCAGUGGGGAAUAUUGGACAAUGGGGGAAACCCUGAUCCAGCAAUACCGCGUGUGUGAAGAAGGCCUUCGGGUUGUAAAGCACUUUUGGCAGGAAAAAAGGGCCGUGCGCUAAUAC